rnacentral:rRNA from 1 species
AGCAUAUCAAUAAGCGGAGGAAAAGAAACCAACAGGGAUUGCCUUAGUAACGGCGAGUGAAGCGGCAACAGCUCAAAUUUGAAAGCUGGCCCUUUCAGGGUCCGCAUUGUAAUUUGUAGAGGAUGAUUCGGCGAGGGCUCCCGCCUAAGUCCCCUGGAACGGGGCGUCAUAGAGGGUGAGAAUCCCGUAUGCGGUGGGCUGCCUUAGCCAUGUGAAUCUCCUUCGACGAGUCGAGUUGUUUGGGAAUGCAGCUCUAAAUGGGAGGUAAAUUUCUUCUAAAGCUAAAUACCGGCCAGAGACCGAUAGCGCACAAGUAGAGUGAUCGAAAGAUGAAAAGCACUUUGGAAAGAGAGUUAAAAAGUACGUGAAAUUGUUGAAAGGGAAGCGCUUGCAACCAGACUUGUCCGCAGUUGCUCAGCCGGUCUCCUGACCGGCGUACUCUUCUGCGGCCAGGCCAGCAUCAGUUCGGGCGGUCGGAUAAAGACCUCGGGAAUGUAGCUCCUCUCGGGGAGUGUUAUAGCCCGGGGUGGAAUGCGGCCAGCCUGGACUGAGGAUCUCGCUUCGGCAAGGAUGCUGGCGUAAUGGUUGUAAGCGGCCCGUCUUGAAACACGGACCAAGGAGUCUAACAUCUAUGCGAGUGUUUGGGUGUCAAACCCAUACGCGUAAUGAAAGUGAACGGAGGUGGGAACCCGCAAGGGUGCACCAUCGGCCGAUCCUGAUGUCUUCGGAUGGAUUUGAGCAAGAGCAUAGCUGUUGGGACCCGAAAGAUGGUGAACUAUGCCUGAAUAGGGUGAAGCCAGAGGAAACUCUGGUGGAGGCUCGCAGCGGUUCUGACGUGCAAAUCGAUCGUCAAAUUUGGGUAUAGGGGCGAAAGACUAAUCGAACCAUC